UCUGGGUACAGGAGACACGCUCCUUUUUCAAGUCACGUAAGACUUGGUCUCAUGACUGAGAUGGGUAUUAGGAUUUUCCCUGUUUCUUACUCACAGUGCUGGUCCUCUGUAGCUUCUAAAACAAGCACUCAAGGAAGGGGAAGGGAAGCAGGAUGCAGAGUACAUCGUGCCUCUGGUCACUGCCAAGAUCUGCUCUUUCAGAGGGCAACAGAUUCAAGAGAUCACCUCCAUAAGAAAGACCAUGCGAUUGUUUUGGAAAAGCUCAGAAACAGAACAAAUGUACAGUUACAACCAUGAGCAGAACUUUGUAGAAAAGGAAAUUGCUCUGUAUAGCUAGAAUUGCUCAAAGUAAAUAAUCUCAAAUUUAUUUGUAUAGAUACACAUGUUGCAUAGCAAAAAUAUUGACAGACUUCCCAUUUUGAGACACCUUUAAAUGUAGUAAAUGACAGGACUGGUAGUCCUUUCCUUCCUAUCUCCUUGCAUAAAACUCAAGUCUACCUCCUGUGUUAUUUAUACAUAAAGAAAAGAAAGAGCUCAUAAACUAUAGUGACAGUGACUGUAAGCAAGACAAUUCACCAAGUGACAAUGUUACCGGCGGAAGGAAGUGUGUUGAAACAGGACAGUUACACUUUCUCAAUACACAGUAUUUUAAGGAGAAGUUGAAGGAAAAGCUAUGUGAAACUGAAAUAAAAUCUAAAUUCCAAUAUUAGUGGGGAUAUAUAUUUUCUCACUCUUAAAAGCCUGAGCCUUUUUCCCUUGAAAAUGUUGACAGAAUACUCUUCAGAAUAUCUUUAAAAUUGCACAAAAUUUAAUAAUUACAUAAUAACUUGUUCACCUCUUGCAGUGCAGGCUGAGGAAAGUGCUCUGAAGAAAGCAGUAGGAACUGGAAGAAAAUUUUCAGCACCGGCAGUUUUUGGUUACUGGUGGGUAAAAGAAAGUUCUGGGGGUUGCGGAAACCUUUGAGGUGAGAGCUGAUCCCACAGUAAUUUUUUAAGAGAGCAACCAACCACUUGCUCAUUACCAGCAAUGAGCAAAGCAGAAGAGUGGGAUUAAUUUCUGUGUUGAAAUUCAUAUGCUUGUGUGUCAUGGCUGUGUCCCAGCCCACCAUUUUGAAUCCAAGAUUCUGCAGACAUGGGAAAUAAGGCUCUCUGCUAGAUAUGAGGGACAGUAUCAACAGUAUCCUGUUUUGCCCAUGUCCAGGUCUGUUAUUUCCUCUUCUCCUUUAACACUACUCAGUAUGAGCUUUAACCUCAUUUAGCUUCCAGAAAGCCUCAUGUCAUGUCAUGUCAAACCACCACACCUCAAAAUUGUUUCUUGUAAUAAUUCAACUCUCCACAUUGCUUGCAAGACAGUUAAAUUGAAAAAACAGGUUUUCAGGUUGAAUUCUGGGUAUUAUAAUCUAUUUCUAGGUAUAAGUAUUCAGGUUUCCACCUGUUCUCAGAAAACUGGGAAACAAACUGAGUUUAUGACCUGUGUCCACACAAGUAGGUAUCACACACAAGAAGACUUCAUUCUCCAUGUUUACCACAAACCCACCGAAGCUGCUGCUCUGUCUGGAGGUCAGUUAAUUCAUCAAUGGAUCUCCAGCUGCACUGACAAGCAUAUGCUCGUGCUCCUUUCUUCUUUAUCAUCUUUGCUCUUAGUUUACUGAGCUCAGGCAUGUUAUUCCUGCCAAACAAGUGAAUUCAGCUUAGGAUCACGCUUUUUUUUUUUUUUUUAUUUUUCAGAAAAAAGAUUCAUGAGGCUAUCUCAAAUCAGAAGAGCUUUUAAGGGCACUUCUGAGUACCACAGUCAUGAAUAAAUUUAGGGAUAUAUUUAAAUUCUGUUUUGAACACAAUCCUUUCCCGAGAUCAUUCUCGGUCCAUAGUUGCUGUGUUCUCAGAUCAACUAGAGAUUGAUGUUUUUGUAAGCAAUGUUCUCUGUUGGGUUUAGAGACCUUGUGUCAGCCUCCAGAGAAAGAGCUG